rnacentral:lncRNA from 1 species
GCAAUGUCACAUGUGGGCCUGAAUUUUUUUAAUGGCAUCAAACAUCACCAUCACUACCACUCAACACAACCACUGUAUAUGUAUCACCGACGAUUGGGGAACAUUCUUAUUUUAUUUAUAAUUUUUGGUCAAAUAUUUGGGGGAACAAAAUUCAAAUCGUGGAGUUGCCAUCCCUCAUCUAACAAACUAAAUAAAAAAUAAAAAUUCAAUUGAAGUCAGUAAUUUUAUGAAUCUUUGAUUGGAUCUUUUUAUUUUCUUCCCUGUUUCCUUGCUACUAGGAAAAGCCAACUUGGGUUCAAAGGGAAAAACUCUUCUUUUUACAUUCC